rnacentral:rRNA from 1 species
UACGUAGGGUGCAAGCGUUGUCCGGAAUUAUUGGGCGUAAAGAGCUCGUAGGCGGUCUGUCGCGUCUGCUGUGAAAACUCGGGGCUUAACUCCGGGCCUGCAGUGGGUACGGGCAGACUAGAGUGCGGUAGGGGAGACUGGAAUUCCUGGUGUAGCGGUGGAAUGCGCAGAUAUCAGGAGGAACACCGGUGGCGAAGGCGGGUCUCUGGGCCGUAACUGACGCUGAGGAGCGAAAGCAUGGGGAGCGAACAGG